rnacentral:rRNA from 1 species
GAUGAAUGCUGACAGAAUGCUUAACACAUGCAAGUCAACUUGAACUUCGGUUUGGGUGGCGGACGGGUGAGUAACGCGUAAAGAACUUGCCUCACAGAUAGGGACAACAUUUGGAAACGAAUGCUAAUACCUGAUAUUAUGAUUUUAGGGCAUCCUAGGAUUAUGAAAGCUAUAUGCACUGUGAGAGAGCUUUGCGUCCCAUUAGCUAGUUGGAGAGGUAACGGCUCACCAAGGCGAUGAUGGGUAGCCGGCCUGAGAGGGUGAUCGGCCACAAGGGGACUGAGACACGGCCCUUACUCCUACGGGAGGCAGCAGUGGGGAAUAUUGGACAAUGGACCGAGAGUCUGAUCCAGCAAUUCUGUGUGCACGAUGAAGUUUUUCGGAAUGUAAAGUGCUUUCAGUUGGGAAGAAAAAAAUGACGGUACCAACAGAAGAAGUGACGGCUAAAUACGUGCCAGCAGCCGCGGUAAUACGUAUGUCACAAGCGUUAUCCGGAUUUAUUGGGCGUAAAGCGCGUCUAGGUGGUUAUGUAAGUCUGAUGUGAAAAUGCAGGGCUCAACUCUGUAUUGCGUUGGAAACUGUGUAACUAGAGUACUGGAGAGGUAAGCGGAACUACAAGUGUAGAGGUGAAAUCCGUAGAUAUUUGUAGGAAUGCCGAUGGGGAAGCCAGCUUACUGGACAGAUACUGACGCUGAAGCGCGAAAGCGUGGGUAGCAAACAGG